GGGCGGGUAGCUCAGUCGGUAGAGCAACGGCCUUACAAGCCGUGGGUCGCAGGUUCGAGCCCUGUCCCGCCCA
rnacentral:tRNA from 1 species